CCUACGGGUGGCAGCAGUCGAGAAUCAUUCACAAUGGGGGAAACCCUGAUGGUGCGACGCCGCGUGGGGGAAUGAAGGUCUUGGGAUUGUAAGCCCCUGUCAUGGGGGAGCAAAUUAAAAGUUAGUACCACAGGAGGAAGAGACGGCUAACUCUGUGCCAGCAGCCGCGGUAGUACAGAGGGCGCAAGCGUUGUUCGGAAUGACUGGGCGUAAAGCGUGCGUAGGCUGUUUCGUAAGUCGUGUGUGAAAGGCGCGGGCUCAACCCGCGGACGGCAAAAGAUACUGCGAGACUAGAGUAAUGGAGGGGGAACCGGAAUUCUCGGUGUAGCAGUGAAAUGCGUAGAUAUCGGGAGGAACACUAGUGGCGAAGGCGGGUUACUGGACAUUAACUGACGUUGAGGCACGAAGGCGAGGGGAGCGAAAGGGAUUAGAUACCCCAGUAGUC
rnacentral:rRNA from 1 species